rnacentral:rRNA from 1 species
UCCAGACUCCUACGGGAGGCAGCAGUGAGGAAUAUUGGUCAAUGGGCGGGAGCCUGAACCAGCCAAGUCGCGUGAGGGAAGACGGUCCUAUGGAUUGUAAACCUCUUUAGGCGGGGAGCAAUGCCGGGCACGCGUGCCCGGAGGGAGAGUACCCGCAGAAUAAGCAUCGGCUAACUCCGUGCCAGCAGCCGCGGUAAUACGGAGGAUGCGAGCGUUGUCCGGAAUUACUGGGUGUAAAGGGAGCGUAGGCGGGGAUGCAAGUUGGGUGUUAAAUCUACCGGCUCAACUGGUAGUCGCACUCAAAACUGCAGCUCUUGAGUGAAGUAGAGGCAGGCGGAAUUCCUAGUGUAGCGGUGAAAUGCGUAGAUAUUAGGAGGAACACCAGUGGCGAAGGCGGCCUGCUGGGCUUUUACUGACGCUGAGGCUCGAAAGUGUGGGGAGCAAACAGGAUUAGAUACCCUAGUA